GACGAACGCUGGCGGCGUGCUUAACACAUGCGAGUCGAACGGAAAGGCCCUGCUUUUGUGGGGUGCUCGAGUGGCGAACGGGUGAGUAACACGUGAGUAACCUGCCCUUGACUUUGGGAUAACUUCAGGAAACUGGGGCUAAUACCGGAUAGGAGCUCCUGCUGCAUGGUGGGGGUUGGAAAGUUUCGGCGGUUGGGGAUGGACUCGCGGCUUAUCAGCUUGUUGGUGGGGUAGUGGCUUACCAAGGCUUUGACGGGUAGCCGGCCUGAGAGGGUGACCGGCCACAUUGGGACUGAGAUACGGCCCAGACUCCUACGGGAGGCAGCAGUGGGGAAUAUUGCACAAUGGGCGGAAGCCUGAUGCAGCAACGCCGCGUGCGGGAUGACGGCCUUCGAGUUGUAAACCGCUUUCGCCUGUGACGAAGCGUGAGUGACGGUAAUGGGUAAAGAAGCACCGGCUAACUACGUG
rnacentral:rRNA from 1 species